ACAUUCCAAUUAGUUCAUUUCCACAAAUAGCACAAACGCAUACACUAGCACACGAGCACUGAAACAAAUUAAAUAAUGGGUGCUAAACUCACUGUAAUAGAAAAUAGGUCAAAGAAUGAUAUCGAAAUUAGAGUAUGGGUUCCUCCGGCUCGACCGGACAAAUUUCAAAGAAUUAUCAGAAUUGAAGCUGAUGGAUGGAGGGAAUUAAAUUGCAAAAAUUUCAGUUACGGAAACUUGAGUCCUGAUGACUAUGAGGGAUUUAUGUCUACUUGGUUAAUGAUUUAUGUUGAUGGAGUUUAUACAGGAAAGUAUUUUCUUCCCACCCACUUGAUGAAGUAUGCGAAAGUCAUCUGCGACAGAAAUGAAGGACACUUUGUUAUACAAGGAAUCAAAGCAACCUUCGACUUCUGCAGAUUCAAGGGUUGUGCCUUCUUUCCCUAUCUCAGAGGAAACAACAAGGAGAUGGUUUGAUCCUCUAUUUAAGAAUAAUAUUCAAGUUCUGAUUUUCUUCUAGACUCAUCAUCCGAGUAGAAGAAGCUCAAAUUUUGAAGAUGUAUGUAUACAAUCAAUGUCCAAUGAUAUAUUGGCCCUCUUGUUUAUGACAUGAGGUUGUGCUAUAUAUAUUACCACUUUAAUAUUUCUAUAGUGCUUCAAGUUAUCCGGUCUAUCUUAUAUUUUGUGAGAUUAUAUUUAUGUUGUAAUGUUAUCUUUAUUCCAACUUCAUCUAAAUGUAUGGAGAAUGAAACUUCAUUUCUCGUUU